rnacentral:rRNA from 1 species
GAGUAAUGUCUGGGAAACUGCCUGAUGGAGGGGGAUAACUACUGGAAACGGUAGCUAAUACCGCAUAACGUCGCAAGACCAAAGAGGGGGACCUUCGGGCCUCUUGCCAUCGGAUGUGCCCAGAUGGGAUUAGCUAGUAGGUGGGGUAACGGCUCACCUAGGCGACGAUCCCUAGCUGGUCUGAGAGGAUGACCAGCCACACUGGAACUGAGACACGGUCCAGACUCCUACGGGAGGCAGCAGUGGGGAAUAUUGCACAAUGGGCGC